rnacentral:rRNA from 1 species
AAGCGGGAAGAGCUCACGAUGUGAAUCGAGCCCUAGGGCCCGAAUUGUAGUCUGGAGAGGCGAGGCCUGCCGCUGUCCGUGGCCAAGUCUGAUUGGAAAUGAGCAUCAUGGAGGGUGAUAAUCCCGUUCGUGCCGCGGUAUCGAUCAGCGCGCAGAAGGCCCGUUUUCGACGAGUCGAGUUGCUUGGGAUUGCAGCUCAAAUGGGGUGGUAAACUCCAUCCAAAGCUAAACACGGGGGGGAGACCGAUAGCGAACAAGUACCGUGAGGGAAAGAUGCAAAGAACUUUGAAAAGAGAGUUAAAGAGUGCCUGAAAUUGCUGGAAGGGAAGCGAAGGAAAGAGGUGUGCGGUCGCCGGAGCGCCAACUCCCAUUGCCCUCGUGGUGUGGGGGUAGGCCGCUCCGCCGCUGUCAGCGGUUGCGCCGGGCUCGCGGGAGGCCCCGCGCCGGAUCGGUGGCCCUCCCCUCGGGGAGGGUGUCAGGCCGGCGUGUGCGGCGCCGCGAGACGACUCGGCCCGCCUCUGGCGAACGCCGCUUUUCUUCACCCCGUCUUGAAACACGGACCAAGGAGUCUAGCGUGGACGCGAGUACAGGGGUGUGAAAACCCCCGCGCGCAAUGAAGGUGAACGUUGGUGGGAGGCCCGCCCAGGCGGGUCGGCACCAUCGACCGAGCGUGUCCCCUCGGGGGCACGGCUUGAGUGAGAGCGUGCAUGCUGGGACCCGAAAGAUGGUGAACUAUGCCUGAAUAGGGCGAAGCCAGGGGAAACUCUGGUGGAGGCUCGUAGCGAUUCUGACGUGCAAAUCGAUCGUGAGAUUUGGGUAUAGGGGCGAAAGACUAAUCGAACCAUCUAGUAGCUGGUUCCCUCCGAAAUUUCCCUCAGGAUAGCAGCGGCUAUUGUCCAGUUUUAUCAGGUAAAGCGAAUGAUUAGAGGCUGCGGGGGAGUAACUCCCUCGCCCUAUUCUCAAACUUUAAAUGGGUAAGGAGCCGGGGUCGCUUGAUUGGACCCUCGGCAUGGAAUGGUUGGUCGUUAGUGGGCCAGUCCGGGUAAGCUGGACUGGCGAUGCGGGAUGAACCGAACGCCUAGAUGAAGCGCCCCACUGCCCGCUCACCUAGAUCCCACAAAAGGUGUUGGUUCA